CGAUACUUGGUGUGAAUUGCAGAAUCCCGUGAACCAUCGAGUCUUUGAACGCAAGUUGCGCCCGAAGCCAUUAGGCCAAGGGCACGCCUGCCUGGGUGUCACUAACCGUAUCCCCAACACCCGUCGCCCUUUGGCGUCGGGAAGGGGCAAAUGAUGGCCUCCCGCGUGCCUUGCCUCGCGGUUGGCUGAAAAUUGGGUUCGUGGUGGAGAGCAGCGCCGCGGUACAUGGUGGUUGAGCGCAAUCUCGAGGCCAGCCGUGCGCGCCCUUCUGCCGUGUUCGGAUCCUGUGACCCUUGAGCGUGCUUCUGGCCGCUCGUGAUG
rnacentral:rRNA from 1 species